GGAAGUGCUAGAAGUCUCAUUUUGUGUCAGAAAGACUACACAAUGUUGAGAAGGAAUGCUAAGCUGAUUCCAACAACUAAGAAAGGUGGACUAGCUACUCCUUCAUAGACAGACAGUGAGUUCAAAUCAUUGUUAGGACAGCACAUGGACUCAAUAGUGACAGUCAGUCAGAUUGGAUUUGAUGAAUAAAUUUGGUAUUGAUCCAGAAAAAGUAUGGUCAAUUGAAGAAUGUAAAAAGGUACUAGGAUCAUGUAUACGUAAAAACAAUGUGAAAGGCAUCAUCUGCUGCCACAGAGAAUUUUGUUUAGCACUAGCUACCCAACAGUCUCAGCAUAACUCAGAACUAGAGAAACAGAACAAAGAGUUCAGAGCUAGAGUAUCCUGUUUGACUAAGAAAUUGAACUGCAACAAAGCUGCAGCAAAAACUGAUGUGGAAGAAGUUAGUCAGACUGAUAACAAUUUUCCUGACUUACAAUCUUUCUUUGAAACCGAUGUAGCCAUCCAGUCAGUAACUGAUGUGCCUGUAGAUUCAGUAAAGGUAUGUGCUACUUGGGAAAGAAACUCUGAUGUCAAAGCCAGAGUAAAGAUUGCAGCAGCAUCUUUUCAGUUCAAAACAGAGAACCAACAGAAACUUAAAAGUCCUAA